rnacentral:tRNA from 1 species
GAUGAGGUGGCCGAGUGGUUAAGGCGAUGGACUGCUAAUCCAUUGCGCUGUGCGCGCGUGGGUUCGAAUCCCACCCUCAUCG